rnacentral:rRNA from 1 species
CCUAUGGGGGGCAGCAGUCGGGAAUAUUGCGCAAUGGAGGAAACUCUGACGCAGUGACGCCGCGUGCAGGAAGAAGGUUUUCGGAUUGUAAACUGCUUUAGACAGGGAAGAAACAAGACAGUACCUGUAGAAUAAGCCCCGGCUAACUACGUGCCAGCAGCCGCGGUAAUACGUAGGGGGCAAGCGUUAUCCGGAUUUACUGGGUGUAAAGGGUGCGUAGGUGGCAGGGCAAGUCAGAUGUGAAAGCCCGGGGCUCAACCCCGGUACUGCAUUUGAAACUGUCCAGCUGGAGUGCAGGAGAGGUA